GACAGAGGGGGCAAGCGUUGCUCGGAAUCACUGGGCGUAAAGGGCGCGUAGGCGGGAUGGCAAGUCGGUCGUGAAAUCCUUCGGCUCAACCGAAGAACGUCGGCCGAUACUGCCGUUCUUGAGGGAUGCAGAGGAGAUUGGAAUUCCCGGUGUAGCGGUGAAAUGUGUAGAGAUCGGGAGGAACACCGGUGGCGAAGGCGGGUCUCUGGGCAUCUCCUGACGCUGAGGCGCGAAAGCGUGGGGAGCAAACGAG
rnacentral:rRNA from 1 species